rnacentral:Y_RNA from 1 species
GGUUGGUCCAAGUGCAGUGUUGUUUACACAGUGGUGUAAUUGAUCACAACCAGUUAGAGAUUCUUUUGUUCCUUCUCCACUCCCACUGCUUCACUUGACCAGCCUUAA